UACAGGGGGUGCAAACGUUGCUCGGAAUCAUUGGACGUAAAGCGCACGUAGGCGGUUCGUUAUGUCGGAUGUGAAAGCCCUUGGCUUAACCGAGGAAGUGCAUCCGAAACUGGCGAGCUAGAGUACUAAAGAGGAUCGCGGAAUUCCCGGUGUAGAGGUGAAAUUCGUAGAUAUCGGGAGGAACACCGGUGGCGAAGGCGGCGAUCUGGGUAGAUACUGACGCUGAGGUGCGAAAGCGUGGGGAGCAAACAGG
rnacentral:rRNA from 1 species